UACGAAGGGGGCUAGCGUUGCUCGGAAUCACUGGGCGUAAAGGGUGCGUAGGCGGGUCUUUAAGUCAGGGGUGAAAUCCUGGAGCUCAACUCCAGAACUGCCUUUGAUACUGAAGAUCUUGAGUUCGGGAGAGGUGAGUGGAACUGCGAGUGUAGAGGUGAAAUUCGUAGAUAUUCGCAAGAACACCAGUGGCGAAGGCGGCUCGCUGGCCCGAUACUGACGCUGAGGCACGAAAGCGUGGGGAGCAAACGGG
rnacentral:rRNA from 1 species